rnacentral:rRNA from 1 species
AGGGUCAGGGUUAUCCUUAAGCUUGACUUUGAGAAAGCGUACGACAAAGUUAACUGGGAUUUCCUUCUCGACUGUCAUGUUAAACGAGGGUUUAAUGACAAAUGGUGUGGUUGGGUUUCUCAAAUUCUUCGUAAUGGUACGGUUAGUGUCAAGAUUAAUGAUGAGACGGGUCCGUAUAUCCAGAGUGCUAAAGGGGUCCGACAGGGGGAUCCUUUCUCCCCUUUCUUAUUCAACUUGGCGGCUGAGUGCCUCACUAAGUGUUGGAAAUAUGCCCUAGAGAUCACAUCAUUAGGAGAAUGA